GACGAACGCUGGCGGCGUGCUUAACACAUGCAAGUCGAACGGAAAGGCCCUGCUUUUGUGGGGUGCUCGAGUGGCGAACGGGUGAGUAACACGUGAGUAACCUGCCCUUGACUUUGGGAUAACUUCAGGAAACUGGGGCUAAUACCGGAUAGGAGCUCCUGCUGCAUGGUGGGGGUUGGAGAGUUUCGGCGGUUGGGGAUGGACUCGCGGCUUAUCAGCUUGUUGGUGGGGUAGUGGCUUACCAAGGCUUUGACGGGUAGCCGGCCUGAGAGGGUGGCCGGCCAACUUGGGACUGAGGUACGGCCCAGACUCCUACGGGGGGGAGCAGUGGGGAAUAUUGCACAAUGGGCGGAAGCCUGAUGCAGCAACGCCGCGUGCGGGAUGACGGCCUUCGGGUUGUAAACCGCUUUCGCCUGUGACGAAGCGUGAGUGACGGUAAUGGGUAAAGAAGCCCCGGCUAACUACGUG
rnacentral:rRNA from 1 species